rnacentral:sRNA from 1 species
AGGCCCCUGACCCCACCCCACCCACAGAGCACGAGGGCCCCGUCAGCUCAGUCUGUGUCAGCCCCGAUGGCCUCCGUGUGCUGUCUGCCACCUCCUCGGGCCACCUGGGCUUCCUGGACACGCUGUCCCGGGUGUACCACAUGCUGGCUCGCUCCCACACCGCCCCGGUGCUGGCCCUCGCCAUGGAGCAGAGGCGGGGACAGCUAGCCACCGUGUCCCAGGACCGCACCGUCCGCAUCUGGGACCUGGCCACCCUGCAGCAGUAGUGGGGCCGUGCGCUCCUUCAGCUUGGAGGCCGCUGAGGUCCCGGUGGAACACACGUGCCACCGAGGAGCCAUCACCGGCCUGACCGCCACCCCUGACGGCCGCCUGCUCUUCAGCUCCUGCUCUGAGGGCUCCCUGGCCCAGUACAGCUGUGCGGACCCCCACUGGCAUGUCCUCCGAGUGGCAGCGGACAUGGUAUGCCCAGAUGCCCCCGCGAGCCCCAGCGCUCUGGCAGUCAGCAGGGAUGGCCACUUGCUGGCCUUCGUGGGACCCUCCAGGUGCACAGUGACAGUCACGGACUCGGCCUCCCUUGAUGAGCUGCUGCGAGUUGACAUCGGCACUCUGGACCUGGCCAGCAGCCGCCUGGACUCAGCCAUGGCUGUGUGCUUUGGCCCUGCAGCUCUGGGCCACCUGCUGGUGUCCACCUCGUCCAACAGAGUCGUGGUGCUGGAUGCUGUGUCGGGCCGCAUCAUCCGGGAGCUGCCCGGUGUCCACCCUGAGCCCUGUCCCUCCUUGACGCUCAGUGAGGACGCCCGCUUCCUGCUGAUUGCCGCCGGCCGGACCAUCAAGGUGUGGGACUACACGACACAGGCCAGCCCAGGCCCCCAGGUGUACAUCGGCCACUCGGAACCCGUGCAGGCUGUGGCUUUCUCUCCUGACCAGCAGCAGGUCCUCAGCGCAGGGGACGCCGUCUUCCUCUGGGAUGUCCUGGCCACUACUGAGAGGCAAGUGCCUACUCUCAGCUUUGUCUGCCUAGGCCCCCCAGGCCCUCCUGAAACCCUCUCUCCUCCCUCUCCAGCAACCAAAGCUUCCCCGUGGCCCCCCAAGCCUGUGAGGCAGGCUCGGGCAUAGGACCACUGGAGGACGCAUCGUCCAGGGCCAGCGAGCUCCCCCAGCAGCAGGUCCCCAAGCCAUCUCAGGCAUCUCUACCACGGCUGGGCAUCUGUGCCAGGCCUCCCGAAGGUGGCGAUGGUGUCAGGGACACCAGGAAUUCGGGGGCCCCACGCACCACCUGCCUGGCUUCCUACAAGGCCUUCACGCCUGCCAGGGUCAGCUGCAGCCCCCACUCUGCCAAGGGCACUUGCCUGCCUCCCGCCAGCGGUGGGUGGCUGCGUCUGAAGGCUGUCGUUGGCUACAGUGGGAAUGGGCGGGCCAACAUGGUCUGGAGGCCGGACACAGGUGGGGGCCGAGAGCCUACCCCCACCCCCAGCCAAGAUGCGGCCGCGCGUGGUCCAGCUCUUUCCACCCCAAGGCCAGGCCCUGGUGGCAAAUGAGCGCCAGUCAUCAGUGUGGGGCUCUGUUCUCCCGGUAGCGCCUCCUGGCGCUCCAGCCGAGGCUUCUUUGCCUACACCUGCGGCCGCCUGGUGGUGGUGGAGGACCUGCACUCUGGCGCCCAGCAGCACUGGUCCGGCCACUCUGCGGAGGUCUCCACGCUGGCCCUCAGCCACAGUGCCCAGGUCCUGGCCUCUGCCUCAGGCUGCAGCAGCACGACCGCCCAUUGUCAGAUCCGCGUCUGGGAUGUGUCUGGCGGCCUCUGCCAGCAUCUUAUUUCCCACCAUAGCACCACCGUGCUGGCCCUGGCCUUCUCUCCAGAUGACAGGCUUCUUGUCACAUUGGGGGACCACGAUGGCCGCACCCUCGCCCUGUGGGGCACGACCACCUAUGACCUCGUUUCCUCCACCCGCCUCCCGGAGCCGGUGCAUGGCGUGGCCUUCAACCCCUGGGACGCCGGCGAGCUCACCUGUGUGGGCCAGGGCACUGUCACCUUCCGGCUCCUGCAGCAGCGUGGGGCAGACAUCAGCCUUCAGGUGCGUCGAGAGCCGGUCCCAGAGGCAGUGGGGGCUGGAGAGCUGACCUCGCUCUGUUAUGGGGCACCCCCCCUGCUCUAUUGUGGCACCAGCUCUGGCCAGGUCUGUGUCUGGGACACGCGUGCCGGCCGCUGCUUCCUGUCCUGGGAGGCAGAUGACGGUGGCAUUGGACUGUUGCUGUUCUCAGGCUCUCGAUUGGUCAGCGGCAGCAGCGUGGGACGGCUGCGCCUGUGGGCCGUGGGGGCUGUGUCGGAGCUGAGGUGCAAGGGCUCAGGCGCCAGGUCCAGUUCGGUGUUCAUGGAACACGAGCUGGUGCUGGACGGGGCUGUGGUGAGUGCUAGCUUCGAUGACAGCGUGGACAUGGGCGUUGUGGGCACCACGGCGGGCACGCUCUGGUUUGUCAGCUGGGCCGAGGGCACCAGCACGCGUCUCAUCAGUGGCCACAGGAGCAAGGUGAGGGACUUCCAGCCUGGACGGAGGCAGGGCAGCCAAACCUGGUGCCCUCCCUGCCUGCCGGCUCCAUCUCCACCAGCCCAGAUUAUUCCAAGUCCUGCUGUCACUGGCUCGCAGCGGCCGCCUUGGGGUUCCCAGCGGGGAGGUCUUGGGUGUGCACGUCCCUCAAAGCCGUCCCGGUUGUGUCUGCACCAGGGAGCCGCCUGGCAGGCCUUGCAGGUGAACGAGGUGGUCUUCGGCCCCGGCGAGGCCCAUUGCGCCACGUGCAGUGAGGAUGGGAGUGUGCGGGUGUGGGCCUUGGCCAGCAUGGAGCUUGUGAUCCAGUUCCAGGUGCUCAACCAGAGCUGUCUCUGCCUGGCAUGGAGCCCCCCGUGCUGUGGCCGCCCUGAGCAGCAGCGGCUAGCGGCAGGCUAUGGUGAUGGCUCCCUGCGCAUCUUCAGCGUCUCCCGCACGGCCAUGGAGCUCAAGAUGCACCCCCACCCGGUGGCACUGACCGCUGUUGCCUUCUCCACCGAUGGUCAGACUGUCCUCUCUGGAGACAAGGAUGGGCUCGUGGCUGUGAGCCACCCCCGCACAGGGACCACCUUCCGUGUGCUGAGUGACCACCAGGGCGCCCCAAUCUCUACCAUCUGUGUCACGUGCAAAGAGUGUGAAGACUUAGGGGUGGAGGGCACAGACCUAUGGCUGGCUGCCAGUGGGGACCAGCGGGUCAGCGUCUGGGCCUCCGACUGGCUGCGGAACCGCUGUGACCUCGUGGACUGGUUGAGUUUCCCAAUGCCUGCCACCACGGAGGUAAACCAUGCUCCUGGCACUGUGGGUGGGGCUAGUACCCAUCCACCCCACCACAGCAUGCUGCGUCUCUGCAGACUCAGGGCCACCUGCCACCCUCCCUCGCUGCCUUCUGCCCUUGGGAUGGGGCGCUACUGAUGUACGUGGGCCCCGGUGUUUACAAGGAGGUGAUCAUCUACAACCUCUGCCAGAAGCAGGUGGUGGAGAAGAUACCACUGCCCUUUUUUGCCAUGUCCCUGAGCCUGUCCCCCGGGAGCUACCUCCUGGCUGUUGGCUUUGCUGAGUGCAUGCUGAGGCUGGUAGACUGUGCCACAGGGACUGCCCAGGACUUUGCCGGCCACGACAAUGCAGUGCACCUGUGCAGGUUUACACCGUCCGCCAGGCUGCUCUUCACCGCCGCCCGCAACGAGAUCCUGGUGUGGGAGGUCCCUGGCCGCUGAGAUGCAGCAGGGACUGUGGUGCUGGGCAUCACGGCUGGUCACGUCAGGCACCUGGACACAGGCUUGGCAGAGAAGCCAGGCUGUCAAUGGCCUCAUGCUGGGACAGGCCAGGAUUCACGUAAAUUGCCUGGAACAAGCUGUUGUAAAUUUGGCGACCUGAAAAUACUUUAAUACCUGUUGCUCUUUUGCCUAAGAAAUUUUUAAUGUUUCUAUCUUGUAAUAAACAUGGGCAUUUAUUGC